UCCAUUUUCGUUGCACAUUAAAUGCACACCAGUUCCCCAUGGAUCACUGAAGGUAAGCAACGUUGCACGUGGUUAGUAUCCGGAUAGGUGAUCAACUGAACAAUCGUGUACUGCUGGCU
rnacentral:rRNA from 1 species